UACGGGGGGGGCAAGCGUUGUUCGGAAUUACUGGGCGUAAAGGGCGCGUAGGCGGUUUGCUAAGUUGGAUGUGAAAACUCUGGGCUUAACCCAGAGCCUGCAUUCAAAACUGACAGGCUAGAGUUCUGGAGGGGAUAGCGGAAUUCCUGGUGUAGCGGUGAAAUGCGUAGAUAUUGGGAAGAACACCUGAGGCGAAGGCGGGUUGCUGGGCCGACACUGACGCUGAGGCGCGAAAGCCAGGGGAGCGAACGGG
rnacentral:rRNA from 1 species